rnacentral:rRNA from 1 species
UGUGAAGGAAAGGUGAAAAGGACCCCGGGAGGGGAGUGAAAGAGAACCUGAAACCUUGUGCUUACAAACAGUCAAAGGCCUACGGGCUGAUGGCGUACUUUUUGUAGAACGGUCCGGCGAGUUACUAAUGCCAGCGAGGUUAAGUGGUCAGAAGCCACGGAGCCGAAGGGAAACCAAGUCUGAAUAGGGCGUAGAGUUGGUAUUAGUAGACCCGAAACCGGGUGACCUAUCCAUGUCCAGGUUGAAGGAACCGUAAAAGGUUUUGGAGGACCGAACACACAUGUGUUGAAAAACGUGGUGAUGAGGUGUGGAUAGCGGAGAAAUUCCAAUCGAACUCGGAGAUAGCUGGUUCUCCUCGAAAUAGCUUUAGGGCUAGCCUCGAGCUGGAGUCUAACGGAGGUAAAGCACUGAACUGACGCGGGGCCCAAAAAGGUUACCAACUCAUAUCAAACUAAGAAUGCCGUCAAGAUACCCUCGGGAGUCAGUCUGCGUGAGAUAAGUCGCGUGGACAAAAGGGAAAGAGCCCAGACCGACAGCUAAGGUCCCAAAGUAUGUGUUAAGUGGAAAAGGAUGUGGGAUUUCGAAGACAACUAGGAUGUUGGCUUAGAAGCAGCCAUACAUUUAAAGAGUGCGUAAUAGCUCACUAGUCGAGAAAACCUGCGCCGAAAAUGUAACGGGGCUAAAACACGACACCGAAGCUACGGAUUCCUUACUAAGUAAGGAGUGGUAGAGGAGCAUCCUGCAAGGACGAAGCCAAAGUGAGAGCGAUGGUGGACGAAACAGGAGAGAGAAUGCCGGAAUGAGUAGCGAGAUACAUGUGAGAAACAUGUAGGCCGAAUAUCUAAGGAUUCCUGGGUAAAGCUAAUCUUCCCAGGGUUAGUCGGGGCCUAAGGCGAGGACGAGAGUCGUAGUCGAUGGAUAACAGGUUGAUAUUCCUGUACUACACAUAAUCAGAACUGUGGGGACGCAGGAGGAUAGGGAAACCGGGGAAUGGAAAGACCCGGUCAAGCGCAAAGCUGUGGGAGAUAGGUAAAUCCGUCUCCUGUAAGUGAAGCGUGAUGAGGACUGAAAAAAAGUAAGGAAGUUUCCGAAUCCACACUGCCGAGAAAAGCCGCUAUUGCGUUAUGUGUACCCGUACCGUAAACCGACACAGGUAGAUGAGGAGAAAAUCCACAGGCCGACGGGAGAAGUGUUGUUAAGGAACUCGGCAAAAUGACCCCGUAACUUCGGGAUAAGGGGAGCCUCGCAAGAGGCCGCAGAAAAGAGGCACAAGCAACUGUUUAGCAAAAACAUAGGUCUAUGCGAAACCGUAAGGUGAAGUAUAUGGGCUGACGCCUGCCCGGUGCUGGAAGGUUAAAAGGAGAGGUCAGCGCAAGCGAAGCUUUGAAUUCAAGCCCCAGUAAACGGCGGCCGUAACUAUAACGGUCCUAAGGUAGCGAAAUUCCUUGUCAGGUAAGUUCUGACCCGCACGAAAGGCGUAAUGAUUUGUGCACUGUCUCGACAACACGCCCGGUGAAAUUGAAGAACCAGUGAAGAUACUGGUUACCCGCAACAGGACGGAAAGACCCCAUGGAGCUUUACUGCAGCCUGAUACUGGGAUUCGAUGAUAUAUGUACAGGAUAGGUGGGAGGCUAAGAAGCGAGAACGCUAGUUUUCGUGGAGCCGCCGGUGGGAUACCACUCUUAUGUCAUUGGAUUUCUAACCUGCAUCCGUAAUCCGGAUGAGGGACAAUGUCAGGCGGGCAGUUUGACUGGGGCGGUCGCCUCCUAAAAGGUAACGGAGGCGCUCGAAGGUCACCUCAGAAUGAUUGGAAACCAUUCAAAGAGUGUAAAGGCAAAAGGUGGCUUGACUGCGAGAGCGACGGCUCGAGCAGGUACGAAAGUAGGACUUAGUGAUCCGGUGGUAAUAAGUGGGAAUGCCAUCGCUCAACGGAUAAAAGCUACCCUGGGGAUAACAGGCUUAUCACUCCCAAGAGUUCACAUCGACGGAGUGGUUUGGCACCUCGAUGUCGGCUCAUCGCAUCCUGGGGCUGAAGUAGGUCCCAAGGGUUGGGCUGUUCGCCCAUUAAAGCGGUACGCGAGCUGGGUUCAGAACGUCGUGAGACAGUUCGGUCCCUAUCCGGCGUGGGCGUAGGAUAUUUGAGAGGAGCUGCCCUUAGUACGAGAGGACCGGGGUGGACUGGCCGCUGGUGUAUCUGUUGCACUGCCAAGUGCAUGGCAGAGUAGCCAAGCCGGGACGGGAUAAACGCUGAAGGCAUCUAAGCGUGAAGCCCCCCUCAAGAUGAGAUAUCCCAUCGCAAGAGUAAGACCCCUUGA